CUUCAUUUAGUUGUAUGUUUUCCAAGGACAGAGAUAAGAUUUUUCCCUGUUCUGCUUCUGAAGCAGGUCAACCUGGAUCUAGUAAGACCAAAUAUUUAUGGACAUAUGUCCCAAAGGCUUUCAGGGUUCUCUGGCCUCCAUUCUAAAACUAUUAGGAAGAAAGAGUUGGAGGUGGAACCAUGUGGAAUUUUAGCAAAAAAUCGAAUCCAUGAGAAAACCAGCCAUUUAGCAGUGCAUGCGGCACUUCUGUCAGCAGCAGUUACACAAAUGUUACCUGCAUUGACAUCUGUAGCAGCCAAACUGCCUCAAGUUAAAACAAUUUGAAGCACAGCUCCCUGUGAUCACUCGUGGGUUUUGUUGCUGGUGCAUCACAGUCCAACUUCUCCCUCUGCCCAGAGCACCUGCCUUCACUCCCUCACCGGCGUUGCUCCUCAGGGCACUUCCCAGUCCUCAUGCAAAUCUCAGUGUGUGUCCUGGGAGGACCCAAAGUAAAACACCUUAUGAAAUUAUUUCAAUUAAAGCAGCCUGGUGUCCAGUGGCAGAACAACACUAGACCAGAACCGGCUGAGGGCAGAGUUUGGUGGGAUGGGUGUUGACUAGGGCCCUUGGUGGCCCACACACCCCAAGGAGUGUGAGGGAAUUGGGUCCGAGUAGGCCCUGGAAAUAUGUGGGAGUGUUUUCCCUUGUCACAAUAUGUCAGAUGGGAAGAACCAGUUUUUUUUCUCACAAGAAAAAAAACUGUUGCAGAAACAAAAGGUGUAAAAAGAAAUAAACUGUAAACCUUA